GUGCCAGCCGCCGCGGUAAUACGUAGGUGGCAAGCGUUAUCCGGAAUUAGUGGGCGUAAAGCGCGCGUAGGCGGUUUUUUAAGUCUGAUGUGAAAGCCCACGGCUCAACCGUGGAGGGUCAUUGGAAACUGGAAAACUUGAGUGCAGAAGAGGAAAGUGGAAUUCCAUGUGUAGCGGUGAAAUGCGCAGAGAUAUGGAGGAACACCAGUGGCGAAGGCGACUUUCUGGUCUGUAACUGACGCUGAUGUGCGAAAGCGUGGGGAUCAAACAGGAUUAGAUAC
rnacentral:rRNA from 1 species